UACGUAGGUGGCAAGCGUUGUCCGGAUUUAUUGGGUUUAAAGGGUGCGUAGGCGGUCUUAUAAGUCAGUGGUGAAAUACGGCAGCUCGACUGUCGAGGUGCCAUUGAUACUGUAGGACUUGAGUACAGACGAGGUAGGCGGAAUUGACGGUGUAGCGGUGAAAUGCUUAGAUAUCGUCAAGAACACCGAUAGCGAAGGCAGCUUACUAGGCUGUAACUGACGCUGAGGCACGAAAGUGUGGGGAUCAAACAGG
rnacentral:rRNA from 1 species